rnacentral:rRNA from 1 species
AUUGAACGCUGGCGGCAGGCUUAACACAUGCAAGUCGAGCGGGGUGAUGGUGCUUGCACUAUCACUUAGCGGCGGACGGGUGAGUAAUGCUUAGGAAUCUGCCUAUUAGUGGGGGACAACAUCUCGAAAGGGAUGCUAAUACCGCAUACGUCCUACGGGAGAAAGCAGGGGAUCACUUGUGACCUUGCGCUAAUAGAUGAGCCUAAGUCGGAUUAGCUAGUUGGUGGGGUAAAGGCCUACCAAGGCGACGAUCUGUGGCGGGUCUGAGAGGAUGAUCCGCCACACUGGGACUGAGACACGGCCCAGACUCCUACGGGAGGCAGCAGUGGGGAAUAUUGGACAAUGGGGGGAACCCUGAUCCAGCUAUGCCGCGUGUGUGAAGAAGGCCUUAUGGUUGUAAAGCACUUUAAGCGAGGAGGAGGCUCUUUUGGUUAAUACCCAAGAUGAGUGGACGUUACUCGCAGAAUAAGCACCGGCUAACUCUGUGCCAGCCGCCGCGGUAA